GUGUCCUUAAAGUAUGUCCCCUUUGGCACCAUCAGACACUGUCAGGGUAUGAACAAGGGCUGUGGGCUGUCUUGGGUCCCAACAGCACCAGGCACGGCAUGAAGCUGUAGUAGGAGCCGGUUCUGGGAGCAGGGUUUGCAAAUCCAAACCCAACUCAUGCAGAGGGAAACAGAAGCUGGAGAGGAGAAAACCUGCCUCGUUGGGUCAGCCAACACUGUCUCCAGGUCUGAGGACACUGCCACGAUGCCCAACUGCACCGAAUCAGCCAGGCACAGAGGAAGCAACAGAAAGGGAAUAGGUGAGGAAAACCAAAUCACAAAACGGGAGAGGCCUGUGGAGCUCACCUGUCUCUCAGAGCUCCCCAAACAUCCACAGAGUCCCCUUAGAAAUCAAUAAAUAACAUUAAGCUGUGCUGGCACAUCUGACCCCUUCCAGCAGGUUCUAAUUUAGCCAGCAGAAUGAGCAUUUAAAGGGCAAAUUAACAGCAAUUUAUAUCAGCAUUUUGUAAAUGACUGAUUAACUCAUGGGGUGCCCCAUACAUACAGUCCACCCACGGCUGCAGUUCCCUUUGCUUUUCAACAGAACUUAGGCCUGCGAAAGAAAACACCCCACUAAUUGUUUGAAUUAGAUGAAGCAGCCACCCUGCCUCGUCUAGUCCAGCUGGGGCUCUCUCAGGGCGCUCAGGAUGUUUUUAGUUUUAUUCCCUCAUGCUGCUGGCUCCCAGAUUGCAUAGACCCUGCUUGGUGGGACUUUGCCAAGCCGGUGCUGACAACACGACCCUGUUGUGCUUAAAGCCAUGCGGUGUCUGGGGUGCAGACGUGAUGAAAUUGCACGUGAGGAUGAGGAGGGCAGGCGGCUGGGCAGGGCAGGUUCUUCCUCCUCUUACUGUGUCUGCACCAGGGGGACGUGGCGGGGAGGAAGGAGGCAGCAGCCGCGGCCGUGCAGCUGUCCAAGCGAAUUACGGCCACACAGCGGCUGCGCUGGUUCCGCUCUACAGCACUCGACAGAGCACCUGGAAAUUCAUUUGUCACUGGAGGAGAAACGAAGAAACCAAGUGAGGGUGUCGAGGUGCCCUCAGCUGUCAGCGAUGCCUGAAACCUGGAGACAUUUCUACACUGCGGUCUGAAGGUCAGCCAAGCGUUUUAACUCCUCCAGCAAUGUUGGGAGCUGCGUGCUUCAGCUUCCCUGGACGUCUCGUCUCUGCAUUACGGCUUGCUCUGGCUAGACUAGGAAAAUGGUGCGUGGAUCUUGUAUUCCUGAUGACUUCUUUCAGUUUCCUGGCUGUCUAGGCAGGCCCAGCUGUGGCUCCUGCAGGGCACUGCUCUAACCAGGUACCCGUCCUGCUGCUCCGCGCAUCCCUCCCAGCUAACUGGGCAUGUCCCCCUCUGCAUCUCCAGCUUUCUCUGCUGCCUCAGAGCUGGCUGGGACCUGCUCUUGGGGUGACUGGCAGGGACACGGUGCUCACAAGGUGUUGCUGCCCUGCUCUGGGUGCCCAUGCUGCUGACUGCCCUCCUCCCCUGGGCAGCAUCCCCUCGCCACGCUGCGUCUCUGAGCGCUGAGGCUCAGCUGCAGGUUGGGGGCGAU